rnacentral:rRNA from 1 species
UCAUCAUCUUGUUGGCUGCGAAUAAUAUGGGGUGGAAUAAAAUCGGGCCUAUCUUAUUGUGCGCGCAUGCCUUAGAGAUGAUUGUAUUUUUAAGCUUAUCCCAAAUCAUGCGUCCAUCCACGGAUGGCGUUUUGAAU